rnacentral:rRNA from 1 species
UAACAGGCUUAUCUCCCCCAAGAGUUCACAUCGACGGGGAGGUUUGGCACCUCGAUGUCGGCUCAUCGCAUCCUGGGGCUGUAGUCGGUCCCAAGGGUUGGGCUGUUCGCCCAUUAAAGCGGUACGCGAGCUGGGUUCAGAACGUCGUGAGACAGUUCGGUCCCUAUCCGUCGUGGGCGUAGGAAAUUUGAGAGGAGCUGUCCUUAGUACGAGAGGACCGGGAUGGACAUACCUCUGGUGUACCAGUUGUCGUGCCAACGGCAUAGCUGGGUAGCUAUGUAUGGACGGGAUAAGUGCUGAAAGCAUCUAAGCAUGAAGCCCCCCUCAAGAUGAGAUUUCCCAACUUCGGUUAUAAGAUCCCUCAAAGAUGAUGAGGUUAAUAGGUUCGAGGUGGAAGCGUGGUGACACGUGGAGCUGACGAAUACUAAUCGAUCGAAGACUUAAUCAAUUU